rnacentral:lncRNA from 1 species
AGCAUGGACAUGCAGUGCCCAAUGCGUGCCCACGUCUGUGCAAUGCCCAGGAUGCACGUGCAGUGCUCGAUGCACACACACACACACAUGGAAUGCCCAGCAUGGGUGUGCAAUGGCUGAUGCACACACACGUGCAAUGCACAGCAUGCACACGCAAUGGCCAGUACAUGCAUGCACACGUGCAAUACAUGCAAUGCCCAGCAGGGACAAAGACUGGCCGAUGCAUGCACACGUACGUGCAAUGCCCAGCAUGGAUGUGCAAUGCACAGCAUAGAUGUGCAAUGGCUGAUGCACACAUACAUGUGUGCAAUGUCCAGCAUGGAUGUGCAGUGCCUGCACAGACAUGCAAUGGCCAAUGCAUGCACACACACAUGCAAUGCCCAGCACAGAGGUGCAAUGCCUGAUGCAUGCACACAUGUGUGCAAUGUUUGGCACAGACAUGCAAUAACUAAUGCACACCCCCACACGUGUGCAAUGCCCAGCAGGAACGUGCAAUGCCCAGUGCACACCCCCACACAUGUGCAAUGCCCAGCAUGGACGUGCAAUGCCCAGUGCACACCCACACACACGUGCAAUGCCCAGCAGGAACGUGCAAUGCCCAGUGCACACCCCCACACGUGUGCAAUGCCCAGCAUGGGCGUGCAAUGCUCAGAAGGAACGUGCAAUGCCCAGCACGGACGUGCAAUGCCCAAUGCACACCCACACACGUGUGCAAUGCCCAGCAGGAACAUGCAAUGCCCGAUGCACACCCCCACACAUGUGCAAUGCUCAGCAUGGACGUGCAAUGCUCAGCAUGAACGUGCAAUGCCCAAUACACACCCCCUCACAUGUGCAAUGCCCAGCACAGACAUGCAAUGCCUGAUGCACAUCCCCACACGUGUGCAAUGCCCAGCACGGAUGUGCAAUGCUCAGCACGAACGUGCAAUGCCCAAUGCACACCCCCACACGUGUGCAAUGCCCAGCACGGAUGUGCAAUGCCCUAUGCACACCCUCACGUGUGCAAUGCCCAGCAGGAAUGUGCAAUGCCCAAUGCACACCCCCACACGUGUGCAAUGCCCAGCAUGGGCGUGCAAUGCUCAGAAGGAACGUGCAAUGCCCAGCACGGACGUGCAAUGCCCAUUGCACACCCCCACACGUGUGCAAUGCCCAGCAUGGGCGUGCAAUGCCCAACGCACACACACAACUGUGCAAUGCCCCAUACACACCCCCACACGUGUGCAACCCCCAUCCCACCCCACCCCCCCCCCUACCCCCUUCCCCUCCCUC